rnacentral:rRNA from 1 species
UGUAGUACCUCUUACCUCUCCCGGUUCCAAGUCUGGCAGUAUCCCCCGAAAGCCUAACAGUUGAGCUGUCAGAUUUCCCGGAGGACUGACCAAACCGGCUACGGACCCUUUAGACCCAAUAAUCACGAUCACCACUCGGGCCGCCGGUGUUACCGCGGCGGCUGGCACCGGUCUUGCCCGGCCCUUGCUAACAGGUGUAUUUUACACACCUGGACAGCCAGCAUAUGAUGCUAGCACUCGGUGUCCCCUUAUCACGGUUUCCCGCAUUGUAAAGUUUUCGCGCCUGCUGCGCCCCGUAGGGCCUGGAUUCAUGUCUCAGAAUCCAUCUCCGGGCUCUUGCUCUCACAACCCGUACCCGUUGUAGGCUAGUAGGUACAUUACACCCACCACUACCUGAUAGGCCGCAGACCCAUCCUUGGGCAGACGAAUCCAUUUUACGCAUAAAGCAUUCCAGCAUAUGUGCGUUAUCCGGAAUUAUCCCCAGUUUCCCGGGGUUAUGCCGGACCCAAGGGCAGGUUAUCCACGUGUUACUGAGCAGUACGCCAUGUUCACGAAGAACAUAUGACUCGCAUGGCUUAGGCGAACACCGAUAGCAGUAACCUCUGGCAGGAUCAACCGGA